rnacentral:lncRNA from 1 species
GGAAUAGUUUGGAGCUAGGUGAAUCAGAUUGGGUGAAGUAGACUUGUUAAAUCUUAUUGAAUAAGUCGAGCUGGACAAUCUCAGUUGAAGUUCAUGAGGUCCACAUGUUGGUCUUAAUUCAUUAGAGAGAGUUGGCUUUUCAAUUGAAGACUUGUUGUUGGGUAAUGAUUACAUAUUGGUGCUUGGUAUUACCUAUGACAGCUGAGAAGGUGAUAAGCCGAAGAAAGUGAUCUGCCAAAUUUGCAGAAUGUGCAGUUGGUUUUUGGGAAGUAAACAUUUGAGGUUUGGUGGGAUGGUCAAGCAGCAGCCUUUUUGUCAUCCAUCUCCAUUUAGUGGCAAGAGUUUGGGAGGAGGCCAAUGGUUGCUGUAUAGUUUUGCUUUUCCUGUGAGUUUGUGUUUUUGGGUGGUAUUUGGGAUGUGAAGUACUUGGUGACGCUAUCCUCUUAUUGACCCCUUGGAGUUUGAGGGUCAACUAAAAAAUUUGAGAUUCGUUCUCCAAAUGCAAAUUCAUUCUGUUCCUGGAGUUCCUACAAUGUUGGAUAGCACAUGUAAGCACUAAUAUCUUCUUCCAAAGAAUUGACAAUCACGUCAUUACCAUAGAUAUUUCAACAUCUCAUACUGCAUAGGCUGGAUCAUUCUCGGUAGGGCUUGUUUUUUUGUCUGUAAAAUAACCCAUCUUCCCACGGCCCCAAAUGUACAUACAAACCACUUGAGACCAUCUUAAGAACUUGUUACCAUUCAAGCAAAUAGUGAUGAUUUGAACAGAGUGAGACUCAGAGUUGGGUCGGAGUUUAUUAUCUUUUGACAAGGUUGCAGCAAGGGAGGAUAGUGAUGCAGUGGCUGAUUUGGAGGAAAUGUUAGACAUAGUGCUUUUGAGGAUUGCUACAGUUGGGAAAGCAGGGAGAAAACAAGGGAAUGAGUAGAGAACAGAGAAGGGGGAAAAGAAAAAGAAAAGAACAGGGGUGAUAGAGAAGAGAGGGAUUGGGAAAUAAGGGCAGGAGCAGAGGAAAAAAUCAGCUAGUAAUUGAUAGCUCUUGUACCGUCUAGAUUGAGAGAAUGUGGGGGGUAGUUUCUCUGUUAUUAGGCUUCUCUAACAAUACUUAACACAUUGUCAAUUAUAGAAGAUACAAGAAGUUAAACUAGGAAAGAGAAUAUAUUUGCUUUAAGAGCAUUCCUAACAUAAACUAUCUAAAGAUACAAUAGUUGACUAAUAAUAUUUGCAGCUAAUAUCCUAUUGAGAGUUGUGGAAUAAAAGACCACAAUCUUAUAUUUUCUGACAAUUUUUUUUGUUGAGAUAAAAAGAAGUAUAUUGUGUAUAAGGCACGAAGGGGGUGCUGCCCCUAUACAAAAAUUUACAUGUCUAAUAGAACAUCAAAAACUUUCCCAAAAUCAUCCCAUCCAUAAACAUCAUAGCUUAAGAUUAGAGAUCCAAAAGUAUGUAUCCACCUAUCCCUAAUCCUACCCAAGUUCACUAUACACCUAUCAAAAAUUCUAUUGUUCUUCUCUUUCCACACCACCCAAAAGAUAGUUAAGAGAAUUUAUUUUACAAUUUUUUUGAUUUCUUACAUAUCGCACCCCAAUCUCAAAGUUCAUUUUUCACUGUGUCCCCAAUAAUCCAAUUGAUACCCAAUAAACUAUACAUCAUAUUCCAUAUAUUCUAUGUCACUGGACACCACAGAAGAAGAUGAUUGUAAGAUUCAGCUGCUACUUUUCACAAAUAACAACUAUUAACCAUAAUGUGACCCCUUCUCGUCAACUUGCAAUAGUGAGGAUGCAUUCCCGGUCCGGUUCUCAUGCAAAAAAAGUGAUUCUCGGUGGCGCUCUCACAUCCAUAUCUGCGAAGCUGGAAAUCUCACACUAUCACCCUCAUUAUUGGCCAAAU